rnacentral:lncRNA from 13 species
AUGAGGCUCUUUCCACAUGUACCUCUUAUAGCUCUACAAGGAACGACCCAGGCCAGAAACCUGCCAAAUCCUGUCAAGUACUGUGAUCUGCAAAACGGAUCUGCCUCAGGAAAGCCAGGGAAGGUGGGGCUGGAUGGAGGGUGUGUUCCAGCUGGAACAUCUCUUCUGGGCCAGGCACAGUGGGGAAAACCAAGAUGGAUUCAUUAUGGCCCUGCUCUCAUGAUUGGGAAACAGGACCUUGCUGUUGCCCAAGCUGGUCUCAAACUCCUGGCUUCAAGAGGAUCCUCCUUCCCCAGCCUCUCAAAGUAUCCAGCCUCCAGUAUAUGCCAUUCUCUUCUCGGACUCUUUGAGAUCAGCUUUUUAGCUCCCACACGAGUAAGAACAUGCAAUAUUCGUCUUUUUGUGCUUGAAUUAUUUCAAUCAUACCAUAAUGACCUCCAGUUUCAUCCAUGUUACUGUAAAUAAUAUUUUUUUUUUUUUUUUUAUUGAUACGGGGUCUCACUUUGUUGCCCAGACUGGAGUGCAGUGGCAUGAUCAUGGCACUCUGUAGCCUUCAAUUCCUGAGCUCAAACAAUCUUCCUCCAUCAGCCUCCCAAGUAGCUAAAACUACUGGUGCACAGCACCACACCUGGUUAAUUUUAAAAGACUUUUUGUUAUUUUUAUUUAUUUAUUUUUUUGAGACAGAGUUUCGCUCUUGUUAGGCAGGCUGGAGUACAAUGGCGCGAUCUUGGCUCACCGCAACCUCCACCUCCUGGGUUCAGGCAAUUCUCCUGCCUCAGCCUACUGAGUAGCUGGGAUCACAGGCAUGCGCCACCAUGCCCAGCUAAUUUUUUUUUGUAUUUUUAGUAGAGACAGGGUUUCACCAUGCCGACCGGGAUGGUCUCGAUCUCUUGACCUUGUGAUCCACCCGCCUCGGCCUCCCAAAGUGCUGGGAUUACAGGCUUGAGCCACUGCACCUGGCCGACUUUUUGUUAAAUUUAAAAGACUUAAUCAAAAAAAAAUUUAGUCUGGAGUGCAAUGGCGUGAUCUCGGCUCACUGCAAUCUCCGCCUCCCAGGUUCAAGUCUCCUGUGUUGCCAGGCUGCGGCUGUUACUUGCAGCAUAAUCUAGCCUAUCCUUUCUAAUAAAGGCAUUGAAUUUGAGGGACA